GGAUGAUAGGGUGGUGUGCAAUCUAAAGUAGGGAAAGCUGAUUAAUAGUACAUAAAAGGUAUAGAACUUAUUUGCAAUGACUGAAGUGAUAAAAGAAUAUAAAAUUUUAAACCACUAAACUAUUAUCAUUUACCUUUUUCUUUGGCUCAUAUUUCCUGAUUGAAUUUUAACUGUUCUUGCGAAUUGUUGAAACUAGUUAUACAUUUUGUUUUAAUAUUUUUUAUU
rnacentral:misc_RNA from 1 species